rnacentral:rRNA from 1 species
AGUGAACGCUGGCGGCGUGCUUAACACAUGCAAGUCGAACGAGAACGGGUUAUAGCUUGCUAUAAUUGUCAGCUAAGUGGCGCACGGGUGAGUAAUGUAUAGGUAAUAUGCCUCUUACUAAGGGAUAACAAAUGGAAACGCUUGCUAAUACCUUAUACUCCUUAUUAACAGAAGUUAAUAAGGGAAAGAUUUAUUGGUAAGAGAUUAGCCUGUAUUGUAUCAGUUAGCUGGUGGGGUAAUGGCUUACCAAGACUAUGACACAUAACUGGUUUGAAAGGAUGAUCAGUCACACUGGAACUGAGACACGGUCCAGACUCCUACGGGAGGCAGCAGUGGGGAAUAUCGCACAAUGGACGAAAGUCUGAUGCAGCAACGCCGCGUGGAGGAUGACACAUUUCGGUGCGUAAACCCCUUUUAUAUGAGAAGAUAAUGACGGUAUUAUAUGAAUAAGCACCGGCUAACUCCGUGCCAGCAGCCGCCGUAA